UUUUCACUGUUUGAUU
rnacentral:sRNA from 1 species